rnacentral:rRNA from 1 species
UACGUAGGGUGCGAGCGUUGUCCGGAAUUACUGGGCGUAAAGAGCUCGUAGGUGGUUUGUCGCGUUGUCCGUGAAAACUCACAGCUCAACUGUGGGCGUGCGGGCGAUACGGGCAGACUGGAGUACUGCAGGGGAGACUGGAAUUCCUGGUGUAGCGGUGAAAUGCGCAGAUAUCAGGAGGAACACCGGUGGCGAAGGCGGCUCUCUGGACCGAUACUGACGCUGAGGCGCGAAAGCGUGGGGAGCAAACAGG